rnacentral:lncRNA from 1 species
UGACGGCUAGACAUUCAUUACUCAUUCAUCCAUUUGAAAACAGGUUCCAAGCCAAAAGCCUCCCAGAAAAUUCCAUGAAAAAAAAUGCUAUCCGAGAAUGUUGUCCUAAAAUUGGGUGACGGCUGCUUCCAAAUCCCUAGGGCCAUAUCAUGUUUCCUAUUUCGGCUCAAACUAUUUUGCCAAAAAUUGGCCCAAUGUUUACAAGUUUAAUUAAAAACUAUCUAGACUACUAAGUUUCAAAGUAAUUAAAUUUGAAAUGUCUAUGUGAAGAGUCUUGACUUAUUUGAUAGCACUCCAAAUGUCCC